rnacentral:lncRNA from 1 species
AACGGCAAGCUGGCUGCAACGAAGCCGCCCACGUAGGCCUCCCCGGCCUGCUGGAGGAGAGGGGAUCCCCCGGGGCAGAGGCGGCUACACCCGGAGAACCCGGAAACCGGAAGCGCAGAUCCUGCCGGCUCUGGACUAGCCGCUCAGCACCAGGGCGGAAGGAAGACGAGGCGAGGCAAGCGCCAAGCUUCCAUCCGGACUUCAAGGCCAGUGGCUGGGUCUGGUUUUCUCAACACGGCCUCCUAGUCUCCUUCCCGCUUGGGCAUCUGUUUUUCUUAUAUAGACCCUGAAGCCGCCCGUGAUGUUCUGUAAGCAGGUUCCGCUUCAGAAUCAGAGGUACUUAAGAGGGAACCUGGAUGCUAGACCUGCCCUUGCUGCUGGCCUCAGUUUCUUUACCUGUAAAACAGGGAUUUUGGAACUGUUAAAUUAAAUCAAACUUAAAAGAAUUACAACUUAAAGCUGCUGGAACUUUACAUGAUCCCGAGCCUUGAGAGGAAUGUGGCUAUGCAGCCUGAGUCAUGUGGCAUGCAGAUGCAACCUCUGCCUUUUUCCGCUGUAAAUAAUUAAGAAGACCAAGUAGCAUCCAAGAGUCACCUAAGCUGAAGAUUCCCUUGAGAACAAGUACUGUCCUGUGGUUUCAUGGCCUUUCUUCCAUUUGUGGUUCUUGCCAAGCGGAAUUUAAAUGACAUCUUAUCAAGAUGGAUAAACCCUAGUUUCCCAGUGCUGGAAUAUAGAAAAUGGAUGGACAAGUAAAUCCCACUCAGCACCCAUAGCCCAGGCAUGGGGACCUCAACACAUUUGAGCCGCAGAGAUCACCUUUCAUUGUGAAUAGCUCUGAGAUGAUACUUCUGGUUGAAUGUCUUUUUGUCACUUCCGGCUGGAUCUACCAUGAAAGAUUUCUGAAUCCAGGAAGAGAGAUUGACUGGGCAACAUGUUAUUCAGAAACAGGACCUUGCCCUGUCACUCAGGAUGGAGUUCAGUGGUCCAAUCAUGGCUCAUUGUAGCCUCAAACUCCCAGGCUCAAGCAAUCCUACCACGUCAGUCUUCCCAGUAGCUGACAGGGUCUCACUCUGUCGCCCAGGCUGGAGUGCAGUGGCAUGAUCUUGGCUCACUGUAGUGUAGACUUCCCAGCCUCAAGGGAUCCUCCCACCCCAGACUCCCAAGUAGCUGGAAUUACAGGUAUGCACCACCACCACACCUGGCUAAUAUUUUUCUUUUUUUUGGUAGACAUAUAGUCUCACUAUGUUGCGCUGACAGGUCUCCAACUCCUGGCCUCAAGUGAUCCUCCUGCCUAGGCUUCCCAAAUUGCUGGGAUUACAGGCAUGAGCCACAGUGCCUGGCCUCUGCUAGUUCUGUAUUCUCUAGAGUUGUCUUUACUUUGUGCUAGUGUGUCCCUCAUUAUGCUGAUCCUCUGCUAAAAUUAAUACUUUUUUUUUGAGAUGGAGUUUCACUCUUGUUGCCCAGGCUGGAUUGCCCAGGCUAGAGUGCAAUGGCACUAUCUUGGCUCACCGCAACCUCCACCUGCCGGGUUCAAGCGAUUCUCCUGCCUCAGCCUUCCGAGUAGCUGGGAGUAGCAUGUGCCACCAUGCCUAGCUAAUUUUGUAUUUUUAGUAGAGAUGGGGUUUCUCCAUGUUGGUCAGGCUGGUCUUGAACUCCUGACCUCAGGUGAUCCGCCUGCCUUGGCCUCCCAAAGUGCUGGGAUUACAGGCAUGAGCCAUGGUGCCUGGCCAAAAUUAAUACUUUCUAUAUUAAAUUUACAUAUAUAUAUUUUUUUUCUUUUUGAUACCAGGUCUCAUGCUCUCACUCAGGCUGCAGUACAGUGGCACAACCUCUACUCACUGCAGCCUCUACCUGCCAGGCUCAAGCAAUUCUCCUGACUUAGCCUCCCGAGUAGCUGGGAUUACAGGUAAGUGCCACCACACCAAGCUAAAUUUUGUGUUUUUUGUAGAGAUGGGGUUUCGCCAUGUUUCCCAGACUGGUCUCAAACUCCUGAGCUCAAAGCAAUUCACCCGCCUUGGCCUCCCAAAGUGCUGGGAUUACAGGUGUGAGCCACCUUGCUCAUUCUAGUUUAAACUUUUGAGUGGUUUGUGUCUCCUGAUUGGACUCCUACAAAUACAGAAUUGAUGGUAGGAAGGGUACCAGGAGAUAGACCCACACAGAUGGGAUUUGGGAAUAGGUUUGGUUAUCCAAGGAGCAGUGCUGAGCUCCUUGCUAAUGGGAUAUGGGAGGCUGGUGAUUUCCAGGAAGUGACCUCACAAUGACUCAAGCUACCACAUACUGUUCAUUGUGAAAUGCCAGUUGAAGCAUAUGUCCUGUGAGCUUAGGGGUGCUACAAGUUGACCACUGCAGCAGUAAAGAUGAUUCUGAAGAAUGGCAUGGGAUGGAUCCUUUCGAAUGCACUUGAGCAGCGGUCUCCAACCACAGGGCCACAGAGCUGGAGCUGGAUCUACCAUGAAAGACUUCUGAAUCCAGGAAGAGAGACUGACUGGGCAACAUGUUAUUCAGGAGAUGGGGUCUCACCCUGUCGCCCAGGCUUGAGUACAGUAGUGCUAUCACAGCUCACUGCAGCCUUGAACUCCUGGGCUAAGGAUCCUCCUACCUGAGCCUCCUGAGUAGCUGGGACUGUAGGGUCUCCCUCUGUUGUCCAAGGCUGGAGUGUAGUAGUGCUAUCACAGCUGACUGCAGCCUCAACCUUCCAGGCUGAAGCGAUCCUCCCAUCUCAACCUCCCACGUGGCUGAGACUACAGGCGCUUGCCACUAUGCCCAACUAAUAUUUGGAAUUUUCCUAUACGUGGAUUCCAGAGGGGUGACAGCGAAACGUGGGACCAUCCAGUUGCAGGAAAACGAGCUUAACACGCCCACUGAUUCUACAUUAUGCUCCUACCUCCCGGCAGCCUCUCCAGGCCCAGAACUUUCUCCAGUCGGCCUCCACAGACCAAGCUCAUGACUCACAAUGGCCUAUUUAGGCCCAUACCCUACCUCACGGCAGUCUCCGCAGAUGAGGCUACUGCCUCACAACAGCCUCCACAGGCACAGCUCCAUCGUUACAAUGGCCUCUUUAGACCCAGC